CGGCGGACGGGUGAGUAACACGUGGAUAACCUACCUAUAAGACUGGGAUAACUUCGGGAAACCGGAGCUAAUACCGGAUAAUAUAUUGAACCGCAUGGUUCAAUAGUGAAAGACGGUUUUGCUGUCACUUAUAGAUGGAUCCGCGCCGCAUUAGCUAGUUGGUAAGGUAACGGCUUACCAAGGCAACGAUGCGUAGCCGACCUGAGAGGGUGAUCGGCCACACUGGAACUGAGACACGGUCCAGACUCCUAGGGAGGCAGCAGCC
rnacentral:rRNA from 1 species